GGCAAAGUGAGAUGUUCUUGGCAUAGACUGAGACAGACAACUACAAUUAGUGUAGACCUGGAAACUUUAUUGAGAGAGAGUUGAAGAAGAUAUUACAAAAUUUCCAUGGUGAAUGGAGGGCAAAUACCUGAACUAAAAUUUUCAAAAAAAAUCAAUCAUCUUAUUUUCUUGCCCAGGAGAUUCAGAAUAACAGUCUCUAGUCCAAUUACAUCAGUCUUUAGUCCAAGUUUAAUCACACAAGUAGAAGGAUCAGCAACGGCAACAGAAGAACAGCGACAGAUACGACAGAACAACAACCACAGAUACCGCU
rnacentral:lncRNA from 1 species